rnacentral:piRNA from 1 species
UGAGCCUAGCUUCUUUUGGGUUGCUAAGAC